rnacentral:rRNA from 1 species
CUUGCUGGGGUGGAUGAGUGGCGAACGGGUGAGUAACACGUGAGUAACCUUCCCUUGACUCUGGGAUAAGCCCGGGAAACUGGGUCUAAUACCGGAUAUGACCUCCUGUCGCAUGGUGGGGGGUGGAAAGAUUUAUCGGUCUUGGAUGGACUCGCGGCCUAUCAGCUUGUUGGUGAGGUAAUGGCUCACCAAGGCGACGACGGGUAGCCGGCCUGAGAGGGUGACCGGCCACACUGGGACUGAGACACGGCCCAGACUCCUACGGGAGGCAGCAGUGGGGAAUAUUGCACAAUGGGCGCAAGCCUGAUGCAGCGACGCCGCGUGAGGGAUGACGGCCUUCGGGUUGUAAACCUCUUUCAGUAGGGAAGAAGCCUUCGGGUGACGGUACCUGCAGAAGAAGCGCCGGCUAACUACGUGCCAGCAGCCGCGGUAAUACGUAGGGCGCGAGCGUUAUCCGGAAUUAUUGGGCGUAAAGAGCUCGUAGGCGGUUUGUCGCGUCUGCCGUGAAAGUCCGGGGCUUAACCCCGGAUCUGCGGUGGGUACGGGCAGACUAGAGUGCAGUAGGGGAGACCGGAAUUCCUGGUGUAGCGGUGAAAUGCGCAGAUAUCAGGAGGAACACCGAUGGCGAAGGCAGGUCUCUGGGCUGUUACUGACGCUGAGGAGCGAAAGCAUGGGGAGCGAACAGGAUUAGAUACCCUGGUAGUCCAUGCCGUAAACGUUGGGCACUAGGUGUGGGGGACAUUCCACGUUUUCCGCGCCGCAGCUAACGCAUUAAGUGCCCCGCCUGGGGAGUACGGCCGCAAGGCUAAAACUCAAAGGAAUUGACGGGGGCCCGCACAAGCGGCGGAGCAUGCGGAUUAAUUCGAUGCAACGCGAAGAACCUUACCAAGGCUUGACAUGUUCUCGAUCGCCACAGAGAUGUGGUUUCCCCUUUGGGGCGGGUUCACAGGUGGUGCAUGGUUGUCGUCAGCUCGUGUCGUGAGAUGUUGGGUUAAGUCCCGCAACGAGCGCAACCCUCGUUCCAUGUUGCCAGCGGGUUAUGCCGGSGACUCAUGGGAGACUGCCGGGGUCAACUCGGAGGAAGGUGGGGACGACGUCAAAUCAUCAUGCCCCUUAUGUCUUGGGCUUCACGCAUGCUACAAUGGCCGGUACAAUGGGUUGCGAUACUGUGAGGUGGAGCUAAUCCCAAAAAGCCGGUCUCAGUUCGGAUUGGGGUCUGCAACUCGACCCCAUGAAGUCGGAGUCGCUAGUAAUCGCAGAUCAGCAACGCUGCGGUGAAUACGUUCCCGGGCCUUGUACACACCGCCCGUCAAGUCACGAAAGUCGGUAACACCCGAAGCCGGUGGCCCAACCCUUGUGGGGGGAGCCGUCGAAGGUGGGACUGGCGAUUGGGACUAAGUCGUAACAAGGUAACCGUA